rnacentral:rRNA from 1 species
UACGUAGGUGGCAAGCGUUGUCCGGAAUUAUUGGGCGUAAAGCGCGCGCAGGUGGUCUUUUAAGUCUGAUGUGAAAGCCCCCGGCUCAACCGGGGAGGGUCAUUGGAAACUGGAAGACUUGAGUGCGAGAGAGAAGAGUGGAAUUCCAUGUGUAGCGGUGAAAUGCGUAGAGAUGUGGAGGAAUACCGGUGGCGAAGGCGGCCCCCUGGACAAAGACUGACGCUCAGGUGCGAAAGCGUGGGGAGCAAACAGG